rnacentral:rRNA from 1 species
UACAGAGGUGGCAAGCGUUGUUCGGAAUUACUGGGCGUAAAGGGCGCGUAGGCGGUCUUGUCAGUCCCUUGUGAAAUCCCCCGGCUCAACUGGGGAACUGCAAGGGAAACAGCAGGGCUUGAGUUCGGGAGAGGGAAGCGGAAUUCCGGGUGUAGCGGUGAAAUGCGUAGAUAUCCGGAGGAACACCGGUGGCGAAGGCGGCUUCCUGGACCGACACUGACGCUGAGGCGCGAAAGCCAGGGGAGCGAACGGG